rnacentral:misc_RNA from 1 species
GUACCCUCAAGCUCUGCUUGGUGUUGGGUGUUUGUCCCGCUGCAUGCGUGGACUCGCCUCAAAACAAUUGGCAGCCGGCAUAUUAGUCCUGGAGCGCAGCACAUUUUGCAAUCCAGCCUAGAAUGUUGGCAACCACAAGCCUAAUUUUUUAC